rnacentral:rRNA from 1 species
AUUGAACGCUGGCGGCAGGCCUAACACAUGCAAGUCGAGCGAGCGGAGGACGGGUGUGAAAUGUCUGGGACACUGCCUGAUGGAGGGGGAUAACUACUGGAAACGGUAGCUAAUACCGCAUACUAUCAGAUGCGCCCAGAUGGGAUGGGCUAGUAGGUGGGGUAACGGCUCACCUAGGCGACGAUCCCUCGCUCGUCUGAGAGGGUGACCGUCCACACUGGAACUUGGACACGGUCCAGACUCCUGCGGGAGGCAGCAGUGGGGAAUAGGGCACACUGGGCGCAACCCUGAUGCAGCCAGGGCGCGUGUGUGAAGAAGGCCUUCGGGUUGUAAAGCACUUUCAGCGGGGAGGCGUUACCCGCAGAAGAAGCACCGGCUAACUCCGUGCCAGCAGCCGCGGUAAUAC